GUGCAUGACAAAAAAAAAUCACUACCAAAUCCAAUGUCAUAGAGCUUUCUUCCUAUGUUUUCUACUGAGUUUUACAGUUUUAGCUUU